GACGAACGCUGGCGGCGUGCCUAAUACAUGCAAGUUGAGCGCUGAAGGUUGGUACUUGUACCAACUGGAUGAGCAGCGAACGGGUGAGUAACGCGUGGGGAAUCUGCCUUUGAGCGGGGGACAACAUUUGGAAACGAAUGCUAAUACCGCAUAAAAACUUUAAACACAAGUUUUAAGUUUGAAAGAUGCAAUUGCACCACUCAAAGAUGAUCCCGCGUUGUAUUAGCUAGUUGGUGAGGUAAAGGCUCACCAAGGCGAUGAUACAUAGCCGACCUGAGAGGGUGAUCGGCCACAUUGGGACUGAGACACGGCCCAAACUCCUACGGGAGGCAGCAGUAGGGAAUCUUCGGCAAUGGACGAAAGUCUGACCGAGCAACGCCGCGUGAGUGAAGAAGGUUUUCGGAUCGUAAAACUCUGUUGGUAGAGAAGAACGUUGGUGAGAGUGGGAAGCUCAUCAAGUGACGGUAACUACCCAGAAAGGGACGGCUAACUACGUG
rnacentral:rRNA from 1 species